AAGUGAUAUCAAUAGACUUAUAUCAUAUAUAGAAUAUGGACCUCAUUCUUUAGAGUUACCUCCCUGGACCGACAUUGAUGAUAAGAUCCUUGAAACAGAUCCCAAAGCAGUUCGUCUGAUAAACAAGUUCGGAGAAAAAGAUGUCACAACAAGAUAUAAUUUUUUAAACUAUAUCACUUAGAUCUGUAACACAGUGUUACUAUGUUAAAAACUUUUUUUUCUUUUUAUACCCCCGCACAACAAAGUUGUAAGGGGGGUAUACUGGAAUCAGCUUGUCUGGCCGUCCGUCCGGCUGUCCGUCGGUUUUUUCUUGUCCGCCCAAUAACUUAAGAUUCCUUUGACCCUUAGUCUUCAUAUUUGGCAUGGAGGUUAGUCAUGAUUAGUAGAUGACCCCUAUUGAUUUUGAGGUCACUAGGUCAAAGGUCAAGGUCACAGGGGCCUUGACUUCAAAAAGCUUGUCCGCCCAAUAACUUAAGAUUCCUUUGACCCACAGUCUUCAUAUUUGGCAUAGAGGUUAGUCAUGAUUAGUAGAUGACCCCUAUUGACUUGGAGGUCACCAGGUCAAAGGUCAAGGUCACAGGGGCCUUGACUUCAAAAAGCUUGUCCGCUCAAUAACUUAAGAUUCCUUUGACCCACAGUCUUCAUAUUUGGCAUGGAGGUUAGUCAUGAUUAGUAGAUGACCCCUAUUGAUUUUGAGGUCACCAGGUCAAAGGUCAAGGUCACAGGGGCCUUGACUUCAAAAAGCUUGUCCGCCCAAUAACUUAAGAUUCCUUUGACCCACAGUCUUCAUAUUUGGCAUGGAGGUUAGUCAUGAUUAGUAGAUGACCCCUAUUGAUUUUGAGGUCACCAGGUCAAAGGUCAAGGUCACAGGGACUUUGACUUCAAAAAGUUUGUCUGCCCAAUAACUUUAGAUUCCUUUGACCCACAGUCUUCAUAUUUGGCAUGGAUGUUGAUCAUGACUAUAAGGUGACCCCUAUUGAUUUUGAGGUCACUGGGUCAAAGGUCAAGGUCACAGGGACCUUGACAAAAAAAAAGCUUUUCUUCUCAAUUUCUAAAGAAUGUCCUGUCCGCAAUGUAUUGAUUUUGACAUUUUCACAUUUGAAGCAUGUAGAAUACAUAACUUAGCAAUGCACUGGCUUAGUAACCUCAGAUUUGGCAGGGAGGUUGUCCUUGAGCUCUAAAUGGCCACUGUUGAUUCUGACAAAGUGGUAUGCGGGGGUAUUCACGCCAUGAUAGUGGCAGUUCUAGUUUGAAGCAGUUUAUGGGUUGGGGGUCAGGAGAGAUGAUCAGUACUGAAUUGUGUUAGGAACUUAUGAAGCAUUCCAUAUUCAGAGGUACUUAAAACAACAUUAUGAUGUAUCAUCCAAUUGAUUUGCUACUUGUGAUGGGGAUAAUCAAUUCAGCUUUGCAUGUUUUAUUUGAAUCUUUAAAAUCAGGGUUCAUUGGUAAUGAGAAAUUUAAUUUAUGAUCCAAAAUCCAAAGAAACAGUCAAUACUUCAUUAAGAAUCUUGUGACUAUAAAUGGACUAUAUUAUUUAAGCCACAUCUUUUAGACAAUUGCCAUGCAAGUAAGGAAAUAGUAAUAUAUUAAAUAUUUUGAAAUAAUUAGA